AGUGAACGCUGGCGGUAGGCCUAACACAUGCAAGUCGAACGGCAGCACAGGAGAGCUUGCUCUCUGGGUGGCGAGUGGCGGACGGGUGAGGAAUACAUCGGAAUCUACCUUUUCGUGAGGGAUAACGUAGGGAAACUUACGCUAAUACCGCAUACGACCUACGGGUGAAAGUGGGGGACCGCAAGGCCUCACGCGAUUAGAUGAGCCGAUGUCCGAUUAGCUAGUUGGCGGGGUAAUGGCCCACCAAGGCGACGAUCGGUAGCUGGUCUGAGAGGAUGAUCAGCCACACGGGAACUGAGACACGGUCCAGACUCCUACGGGAGGCAGCAGUGGGGAAUAUUGGACAAUGGGCGCAAGCCUGAUCCAGCCAUACCGCGUGGGUGAAGAAGGCCUUCGGGUUGUAAAGCCCUUUUGUUGGGAAAGAAAUCCUGUCGAUUAAUACUCGGUGGGGAUGACGGUACCCAAAGAAUAAGCACCGGCUAACUUCGUGCCAGCCGCCGCGGUAACAC
rnacentral:rRNA from 1 species